UCGAUGUACCUUUACUAGGUUUUGCAGUGGCAGUCGUAGUCUCUUUUGCUGUUUCUUUGAAAUACAUUUUGCAAGUUAAGGAAGUCUGAUGAAAUUUCAGUAUGGGUUACGAAUUAUGAUUUUCAUCUGAACCACGGUCCGGAUAUCCCGUAAACCGGACAAAUUAAGCUGGUUAUAUCAUUCCGGACUCCUACCUUUAACGU
rnacentral:lncRNA from 1 species